UCAAAUGUUCUUCGUGAACAUGGCGAACUGCUCAGUAACACGUGGAUAACCUGCCCUUAGGAUUGGCAUAACACCGGGAAACUGGUGAUAAUACCGAAUAGACCAUUUAUGCUGGAAUGCUUUUUGGUUCAAAGGCUUCGGCUGCCUAGGGAUGGAUCUGCGGCCUAUCAGGUAGUAGUGGGUGUAAUGUACCUACUAGCCUACGACGGGUACGGGUUGUGAGAGCAAGAGCCCGGAGAUGGAUUCUGAGACAUGAAUCCAGGCCCUACGGGGCGCAGCAGGCGCGAAAACUUUACAAUGCGGGAAACCGCGAUAAGGGGACACUGAGUGCCAGCAUAUUAUGUUGGCUGUCCACAUGUAUAAAAACCAUGUGUUAGCAAGGGCCGGGCAAGACCGGUGCCAGCCGCCGCGGUAACACCGGCGGCCCGAGUGGUGAUCACUUUUAUUGGGUCUAAAGGGUCCGUAGCCGGUUUGAUCAGUCUUCUGGGAAAUCUGACAGCUCAACUGUUAGGCUUUCAGGGGAUACUGUUAGACUUGGGACCGGGAGAGGUAAGAGGUACUACAGGGGUAGGAGUGAAAUCUUGUAAUCCCUGUGGGACCACCAGUGGCGAAGGCGUCUUACCAGAACGGGUCCGACGGUGAGGGACGAAAGCUGGGGGCACGAACCGGAUUAGAUACCCGGGUAGUCCUAGCUGUAAACGAUGCUCGCUAGGUGUCAGACACGGUGCGACCGUGUUUGGUGCCGCAGGGAAGCCGUUAA
rnacentral:rRNA from 1 species